UGGGUGAUCUGCCCUGCACUUUGGGAUAAGCCUGGGAAACUGGGUCUAAUACCGAAUAUGAUCAUGCUCCUCAUGGGGUGUGGUGGAAAGCUUUUGCGGUGUGGGAUGGGCCCGCGGCCUAUCAGCUUGUUGGUGGGGUAAUGGCCUACCAAGGCGACGACGGGUAGCCGGCCUGAGAGGGUGUCCGGCCACACUGGGACUGAGAUACGGCCCAGACUCCGUACGGGAGGCA
rnacentral:rRNA from 1 species